CUACGCCUAGGACACCAGAAUA
rnacentral:snRNA from 1 species